AGACGACGAGGUAGAUAGGUUAGAGGUGGAAGUACAGUAAUGUAUGGAGCUGACUAAUACUAAUCGGUCGAGGGCUUAACCAG
rnacentral:rRNA from 1 species